GAACUCGCUGUGCCACAGAAGCCCUUCCUGGAUUUUCUAUUAUGUCCCACUGAUCUCUCUAUCUGGACCCAGUAACAUGCUUCUUCACUUAAUAUAGCAUCACACUUUGUCUUACUAACUGUGGAGAAAAUCCAUCUCCAUUCUGCUUCUGAACUGAAGGUUUCCUAAAGCCCAAGAUUAUCUGCAGUAUCAGAUUUGGCCUCUAGAAGAUGCUGCACAUCUUGAACUUGGUUUGAAACCAGAGAGCAACCAGCCCCUUGAGGAAGAGUUUUUACUCUGCAUGUCUUGUAAACACACUCACUUAUCUGGCAGGGUGUCCAUGUGGCUGAAGUGUGUCCAGGAAAAAUCUGCAGAAAGGAGCCUCCUAUUUCCUCACAGCUCAGACAUGAAGCCCACCCUCAUCUCAGUGCUGGUGAUGAUAUUUACACUCUGUGGAACAAGAGCCCAGACAGUGACUCAGCCCGAGGACCACAUCUCUGUCUUUGAAAGGUCUCCAGUGCAGGUGAAGUGCAACUACUCAUAUUCUGGGAGUCCUGUGCUCUUCUGGUAUGUCCAGUACCCCAAACAACACCUCCAGUUACUCCUGAAACACAUCUCAAGAGAGAGCAUCAGAGGUUUCACAGCUCACCUCGACAAGAAAGAGGCAUCCUUCCAUCUGAAAAAGCCAUCAGCUCAAGAGGAAGACUCAGCCGUCUAUUAUUGUGCUCUGAGUGACACAGUAACUGGUUUUACAAGGGAAGCAGAGCGCAAACCUCUCAAGAGUUACAGAAAAUGUUUCUAAGUACCUUGUUUGGCCACAGUGGGGCAUUUUCUUUCUUGAGACUGACAUAGAGUUUACCUCUCAGAUACACUGUCAUCAGUUCUCUAGUAGCUAUAGAUUAAGCUCAAAAAUUUGCUCAAGAACAUUCUCAUUACCUAUUCAGCCUAAGUUAAAUUUUAAAAUAGUUAAGUGUAUUUGUUCUAUACAUUUGUACCUGGAAAAAUACUUCUGAAAUAAAACUAUAUAACAACAGCAUAAAAUUGCUUUGCUUUGCCUAGAAGGGCUCCCCAGGUUUAAGGGGUGCAGUCCCAUCUCUCCAACUCCUCUGCCACCCCACCACCCCCAUGUGUUCAUCACCAAGGCAACAAUACCUUAAGAGUAGGAUUCUAUUUUGUGACAUGUGGUUGCUGACCUUUCUGCAGCUAAUGACUUUCCCCUCUGCACUUUAUGGACUCACACUAGCCAAAUCAGGGUCCAACCAGGAGAAAAAAAAAAAAAGCAGCAA